CGUUCUAUUGCCGAACUGGUGAAGGCAUCGCCGAUAUACAGGCGAAGAUGCGGGUUCGAAUCCCGCUGGAACGG
rnacentral:tRNA from 1 species